CAGUCGCCGCGGUAAUACGUAGGGUGCAAGCGUUAAUCGGAAUUACUGGGCGUAAAGCGUGCGCAGGCGGUUCUAUAAGACAGAUGUGAAAUCCCCGGGCUCAACCUGGGAACUGCGUUUGUGACUGUAGAGCUGGAGUGCGGCAGAGGGGGAUGGAAUUCCGCGUGUAGCGGUGAAAUGCGUUGAGAUCGGAAAGAACACCAACGGCGAAAGCACUCUGCUGGGCCAACACUGACACUGAGAGACGAAAGCUAGGGGAGCAAAUGGGAUUAGAUACCCCCGUAGUCCCUGUCUCUUAUAC
rnacentral:rRNA from 1 species